rnacentral:ribozyme from 1 species
CUAUGGGUCAGCCGGCCACCUCAACGUGGUGCCAGGGUGCAGUACUCUUUGCUGGAGAGGAAGCCAAGUGCCUG